rnacentral:rRNA from 1 species
GACGUAGGUGGCGAACGUUGUCCGGAAUUAUUGGGCGUAAAGGGUGCGUAGGCGGUUUUGUAAGUCUUGUGUGAAAUCUUCAGGCUCAACUUGAAGACUGCACGAGAAACUGCAGGGCUUGAGUGUGGGAGAGGUGAGUGGAAUUCCUGGUGUAGCGGUGAAAUGCGUAGAUAUCAGGAGGAACACCUGUGGCGAAAGCGGCUCACUGGACCACAACUGACGCUGAUGCACGAAAGCUAGGGGAGCAAACAGG